GGCCAAUAGGCAUCCCCAGCCUUGAUCUCACACAAACUAUACAGAUCAUGCCAGGCUUCUGAGUAUGUCUUACGAAUCUGGGCAAUCCUCCGAAAGAAGGGCAUGGGCUGCUUCUCAUUGUCGGGGAGAGAGGUUACUAGGGUAGCAGCUUGGGAUGGGUUGAACGUGACAUACAUCGGGGAGCCCCGUCCACUAGUGGUAAAGCAGGGGUUACUUGUCUCUGGGAAACCCUAUUAUUUGAAGGGCAGAAUGGGCUAAUCCCUUGCACAUUGUCAUCCUUGGGGGGAACCGAGAAUGGGAGACCAUGGUAGCUAGCAACAUCUGGUGAAUUAGGGGCUUGAGCAUCGGAGCUGGGAGUACUGACAGCGAUGGCCUCGGGAGUAACUGUUACGGCUCCCCUGGUCUGCGAGGGGUUACAGCCGUAUGAGACGUUCCCUUAACGAAUGCAGAGGCAGCCACUGAGUGCUACAAAGCACCGAACAGUAGCCGUACGGAUGAAGUAGUUUCCCAAGUAACCGAACAGUAGAUAUACGAACACACUAUUUCUCCCAAACAGCCGAACAGCCACCAUGCGAAUCAAAUAUUCCUCCAAACAGCGGAACACGCUUACUCCAUACGAAUAAUGCCCCCAAAGACGAGACACAGCUCCGUACUGAGGGUUAGCAGGAAUCUGUUUAAUGAGGGCUACAUGCCCGGCUUUUAUGCAAGUCCCCCACCUGGUGGACACUCCCCUAGGGGACCCAAUGGGGGACUGUGACAAGCACAAUGUAUUAACCAAUCACAGGAGACUUAAUAAGCCAUUCCUCUUUUCUUGCCCAGAACCCCCUGCUCUGCCCGGGAAGAUAAUUGUGAAGUAAUUCAAUUAUCUCCCAGGACAGAGCCUAAACGCCAUUUUGAGGACUAAUAACAAAAAUACAUAAAAUUACAUAACUGUUGCAUUUUACACGAUUUUAUAGGCAUUCCACAGGUCCCCAGAUAGCUAGGAUCUGAGCGCACCAAAGUACCAAAUAGCGCUCAGAUCCUAUACACACAGUCCAAUCGCCGUGGAGCCAGUGUUCACACAGUCCGUUUUCAAGAAUGGGCUCUACGGGAUUCCUAUCUGGGGUACGGUGUAUUCCGUUUAAAUCCACCGAAUAUAGGGUCAUUCGUGCCAAUCUACCGAACAAGAAGGGAGCUCGGCGGCUUCAGCGGUGUUCGUGCCAAAAAG